rnacentral:rRNA from 1 species
GGAGGAAGGUGGGGAUGACGUCAAAUCAUCAUGCCCCUUAUGUCUUGGGCUUCACGCAUGCUACAAUGGCCGGUACAAUGGGUUGCGAUACUGUGAGGUGGAGCUAAUCCCAAAAAGCCGGUCUCAGUUCGGAUUGGGGUCUGCAACUCGACCCCAUGAAGUCGGAGUCGCUAGUAAUCGCAGAUCAGCAACGCUGCGGUGAAUACGUUCCCGGGCCUUGUACACACCGGCCGUCACACCAUGGAAGCU